rnacentral:lncRNA from 1 species
CUGGAAGUUGAUGGAGUUCCAUGCCUGCAGUGGCUCUGUCCUGAUUGCACUUGUCCAGCACACACACACACACACACACACACACACACACACACACAUCUCACACUUCCUUGCCUGCAGUGGCUCUGUCCUGAUUGCACUUGUCCAGCACACACACACACACACACACACACACACACACACACAUCUCACACUUCCUUGCCUGCAGUGGCUCUGUCCUGAUUGCACUUGUCCAGCACACACACACACACACACACACACACACAUCUCACACUUCCUUGCCUGCAGUGGCUCUGUCCUGAUUGCACUUGUCCAGAACACACACACACACACACACACACAUCUCACACUUCCUUGCCUGCAGUGGCUCUGUCCUGAUUGCACUUGUCCAGCACACACACACACACACACACACACACACACACAUCUCACACUUCCUUGCCUGCAGUGGCUCUGUCCUGAUUGCACUUGUCCAGCACACACACACACACACACACACACACAUCUCACACUUCCUUGCCUGCAGUGGCUCUGUCCUGAUUGCACUUGUCCAGCACACACACACACACACACACACACACAUCUCACACUUCCUUGCCUGCAGUGGCUCUGUCCUGAUUGCACUUGUCCAGCACACACACACACACACACACACACACAUCUCACACUUCCUUGCCUGCAGUGGCUCUGUCCUGAUUGCACUUGUCCAGCACACACACACACACACACACACACACACACACACACACAUCUCACACUUCCUUGCCUGCAGUGGCUCUGUCCUGAUUGCAACUUGUCCAGCACACACACACACACACACACACACACACACAUCUCACACUUCCUUGCCUGCAGUGGCUCUGUCCUGAUUGCACUUGUCCAGCACACACACACACACACACACACACACACACACACACACAUCUCACACUUCCUUGCCUGCAGUGGCUCUGUCCUGAUUGCACUUGUCCAGCACACACACACACACACACACACACACACACACAUCUCACACUUCCUUGCCUGCAGUGGCUCUGUCCUGAUUGCACUUGUCCAGCACACACACACACACACACACACAUCUCACACUUCCUUGCCUGCAGUGGCUCUGUCCUGAUUGCACUUGUCCAGCACACACACACACACACACACACACAUCUCACACUUCCUUGCCUGCAGUGGCUCUGUCCUGAUUGCACUUGUCCAGCACACACACACACACACACACACACACACACAUCUCACACUUCCUUGCCUGCAGUGGCUCUGUCCUGAUUGCACUUGUCCAGCACACACACACACACACACACACACACAUCUCACACUUCCUUGCCUGCAGUGGCUCUGUCCUGAUUGCACUUGUCCAGCACACACACACACACACACACACACACAUCUCAC